GGUGCGGGACACACCGCAAAACUAGGCCGACAGACGCUCACCGACGGCCCCAAAUUGUCUGACGGCUGACCGUCGGCUCGGUGUGUCAGGGCCAUAAAAGCAUCUCUCCAAGAAAGCGAAUAAAGUCAU